rnacentral:lncRNA from 1 species
GAUGCUGCUCCUAUGUAGGUCGGCGAGGAAAUGGACCUCAGGCAAUCUCUAUCGGCAAGAACUGUGAUAAAUUUGGGAUUGUUGUUCAUGAAUUGGGUCAUGUGAUAGGCUUUUGGCAUGAACACACAAGACCAGAUCGAGAUAACCACGUAACUAUCAUAAGAGAAAACAUCCAGCCAGGUCAAGAGUACAAUUUUCUGAAGAUGGAGCCUGGAGAAGUAAACUCACUUGGAGAAAGAUAUGAUUUCGACAGUAUCAUGCACUAUGCCAGGAACACCUUCUCAAGGUUGGAGUCUCAGGGGGAUGUUUCUGGAUACCAUUCUCCCCUCCCGUGAUGAUAAUGGCAUACGUCCUGCAAUUGGUCAGCGAACCCGUCUAAGCAAAGGAGAUAUCGCACAGGCAAGAAAGCUGUAUAGAUGUCCAGCAUGUGGAGAAACUCUACAAGAAUCCAAUGGCAACCUUUCCUCUCCAGGAUUUCCCAAUGGCUACCCUUCUUACACACACUGCAUCUGGAGAGUUUCUGUGACCCCAGGGGAGA